rfam:Mus musculus chromosome 17 genomic contig, GRC reference assembly alternate locus group NOD/MrkTac.
GUGUUCACCUUGGCAGCAUAGACACUAAAAUUAGAACAAUACAGAGAAGAUUAGCAUGGUCCCUGUGCAAGUAAGAAUCAUAUUUACAAAAUGAAACAACCCAGAAAAAU